GGCAAGAGGAGGAGCUGACUCCCUGCUGAGCCCGAUGGGAGACUCGAUCCCAGGAUCCCCGGGAUCAUGACCUGAGUUGAAGGCCGACACCUAGCGGAUUGAGCCACCAGGUGCCCGGCAUUAGUGCUCUUGUAAAAGACACCCCACAGAUCUCCUUACCCCCCCUGCGAUGUGAGGCUACCAGGAAAAGUCUGGGACCGGGAAGAGGGCCCUCACCGGACCAUGCGGUACCCUGAUCUGACUUCCAGCUUCCAGAACUGAAUCCUGCUGUGAUGAUCGGAGCUGUAGCGUUUUGCUCAGUUACUGAGCUAAAAGGAAUUGCCUCAUCAGCUCUGCAAGCUCUUCCAGCCAAACCCCAAGCUUCAUCUGGACUUCGCUUAAGUGUCUAGGAUAAUAGAUUCCAGGCGCCUUGGCUCAUAGGCUUGGAGACCAACACUGCCCGACAACUGGUCCCAGGCAUGCCUCUGAAUGUCCCAAAUCGGCGGCCUGGCAUUUUCUCUUGAAGACACUCUAGAAGAAACCCCCUGUGCAGAGGCCCAGGUUUUACUUUCAAGUCCAGUUAUAAAAGCCUUAAUCUAAUCUCCAAAGUUCUGGAUCAUACCCUCAGGAUGGAGAACAAGAGUAGGGCCGCAUUUCAACUGGAGCCCAGUGGGGAGAGGCCUCACGGGAGAGGAGGCAAAGGAGAGAAAGCAGGAUGGAGGGAAGACGGGGCUCUGAACCCCGCUUCCCUCGGACUUGCACAAGCCCUUACAAAGGGGCUGCCGAGAAAAGCCCGCCGCGGGGGGUGCCCAGGGUGGAGCGCCGGGAUCGGCCGGACCGGGUGAUGAGGUUCUUUGUGUUGUUUACAUCCAAUAACCCUGACUCAUGUGCAUGAAAAUGAACAACAACAACAACAACAACAAAACCCAGAAAGUUUUGGCUUGGUCAUUUCCCCUUCCAAAUCUGGAAUGAUUGUCAUGUCUCUUGAAGCCUUCAGACACUGUUAGCCAGAGGUCCUUCCUCACCAAGGGGAACUAAGUCUAGAGGCCUUGGUGACAAGUGUGGGCAGCCAGUUCUCGAGUAUGAAUGGGGAUGAUUGGCAGACACAACUGCUUACAUAAAACCAGCAAAUCACCAACACUUCAAAUUAAGACUUUGUUUCUCCUUCAUCCAAACCAUUCCCAGUACUGGCAGAGAAGAGAAAAAUUGGGCAGAUUUCAACAUCAUCUCCUUUCGUACAUGUUAUAUUCUGGUGCAAAUGUUCGUGAAGGUGUCUCAAUAGGAAGCAGAGAAAAAUAAAAAGAGAACUGACAGCCAGUGUUAUCUGCUGCAUGCCUUGGAAUCAACUCAAUGCACUUGAUUAUGAUUUCAUGGAAUCAUGCCACAUUGUCACUGGAAGAAGCUCAAGAGUCAUUUGUUCGGUGUUUAUUGAGUGUCUACUGUAGGCCAGACACUAUUUUAGACACUGAGAAUUCAAUGGUUGAUAGAAGGCUUCUGCCUUCAGGGAGCUCUCAGUUGUGUGGCGGAGACAAAGAAGUAAACAGUGGGAGACGGCCCCAAUUUCACAAGUGAGCUCAAGCCCAGGAAUUGCAAGGAAAACUGUAGCAGAACUGAAAGCAAAAUUGAGGCCUCUUGGCUUUCCAUUUUCUCAAGAGAAACGUUUACCAGGUAAACUUAAGAGGGAGCCAGGGUGACAGGGCCAAGCUUUGGAGCAGCUUAUACGUACACAAAAAUAAAUCACACACACACACACACACACACGCAAGCACGCAUGCAUGCACACUUGUGCAUGAUAAAUUCCAUUUUGGACCUCCAAGGCUUGAACUUCGGCCCAUCAGGGGUGGCACAAGCAGACUUUAACCAUUCUGAUGACUAUGUCAUUCCUUGACCCCAGAGGUGAUCAGAUUAAGCCUCCAAAUGCAAGAUGUGAUUACCCAUCUCCGCUCUGUAAUCGGCUGGCCACGUCUGUUAUCAAUUGCAGCAAAACCUUCGUAUCCCAAGGGGAAAACACCUGCCCUGCUGCAUGCAGUUCUCUCCCUGAUGACUCCCCAUGGCCGUCCCCUCGUGGCUGCAGAGACGUGAGGCUCUUCCACAUGUCUCAGCUCCCGCUAUGGCUGUGCAUCACUCAUGACUGUGCCCCCGCUAAGAUUCCAGUGCUUCCAGGACAGAGUCACCUUGUUUCAGUUCAACUGGAUGCAUGUUCUUAAUGGGUGGAAGAGUUUCCUGGCAGGGAAGAAAUGACAUCACUGAUAAUAUCUAACAUUUCCUAUGUGCUUCCUAAAGAGCCAGACUGCCAAGUACCUUCCUUACGCUUUCUCACUUCUUACACAACCCUGUGAGGAUGUGGACCUUGGGAGCAAACAAUCCUGGGCCCUCCACUUCGUACUUUAGUGAUGGGCCUCUUUUUUUUUUUUUUUUUUUAAUAUGCCUCUUUUCUAAUCUGCAAAAUGGGAAGAGCAAGAGUGUUUAUUAGAUGUGAUUGUUUUGAGAUGAGAUGAUAAAAAAAAUGUUUAAAAAAAGCACUGAGCACAGAGGCUGGACCCGUGGUGAUCACAUAAUAAAUGGCAGCUGCCGCUUUUACCUACACCAUUAAGGCAACAGGUCUACGGAAGUUAAGUAACUUGCCCAAGGAGAGUCAAGAUGAUGAACCACAGUACCCGCCUUCAGGUGGUUUGGAGUCUUCUUGAGGUUCUUUUUUUUUUUUUAAUUUCUUUUUAUUGGAGUUUAAUUUGCCAACAUAUAGCAUAACACCCAGUGCCCCCCUCUUGAGGUUCUUAAACACUAAUGAAUGCGGUAACUCAGGAUGAAUGCGAGAAGCCCUUGAAGUGAGAGACAGAACCUGUGGACAAUAUUUCUGGGUCCUUUUUUUCUUUUUAAUUAUUUUUAAAUCUGAAAAAAAGAAAUUCAAGUAUUACCAUAUCAAAGGCAUAUAGAGAAGAGUUGGUCUUUUUUGCCUCUGACUUUAAGUUCAAAGGAACCCCUUCGUGUCUUUCUACGCAAAUUCGAGCACGCAUGCAUAGAGCAUUUUAUACAUACAUGUGUGUAUGCUUAUUCAUGUAUAGUAUAUUUAAAGAAGCUAUUUACAAAAUCCUUUUAAUCCCUCCUUAAAAAUCCCAAAUAGUCCAUUUUUUUUUCAAUAUGAUCUGUACCUUGUGUUUGUUUUUUUUUCACUUGAUAGUGUAUUCUGGAGGUUGAGCUACAUCAUUAUAUCAAGAUUGAUUACAAUCUUAAAUGGUUGCACGGUGUUCCACUGUGUGGGUAUAUAAUGAUUGAUUUAACCAACCCUUUAUUGAUGAAUAUUUAGAUUGUUUCUAGGUUUUUUUUUUCCACUAUGAAUCAAUAAACAACCUUGUAUAUGUGUUUUUGUAAAUAUGCACACAUGUGUUUGUUGGAGAACUUCCUAGAAGUGUGAUUACUGGACCUAAGGUUACGCACAUAAAUCUGUGAUGGAUAUUGCCAAAUUAUCCUCCAGAGAAGUUGUGUCAAUGUAUGCUCCUUCCAUAAUGUAUAUGAGCUCGUUCAGUCCAUUAUUUCUUAGUUGCAUUGGGCAAACAACCCUGAGUAAAUAGUGUUGCUUCUUUUUGUUUCUUUAUAUUUACUAGUUAGAUUGAGCGCUAUGUUAAUGAGCCCAAGGUCAUGAAUUUGUCUACUAAGUAGUUAAUGAGCUUUGCUGGCUCUUUCAUCAAGGUUAGUCCUUUCCAUGGUCUGUGAAUCCCAACAGAGACUAGAGGAGAAAAUGAACAGAGAGGCAAUAUUCUUGACCAUUUCUGGAUUUAAAGACGGUAAUGGUGAAUUAUCGACAGACUUACAUCUUUAAAAAUGAUAAUAUUGCUCUGUUUCCUCAGCUUCAUUAUUUGUAGCAAGAUAUAUCUAUAUUUAGUAUAAUGCUCUAAACAAUUUGGAGAAAGAGGACUUACAUUUAUAAAAAAUCCUUAUUGCGCAGAAAUUGUUUUUCCUAAACUGUUAGCCCCUUGGUGGCAUAGACCAUGGAUGUUCAGCGUGAUAUUCCCAGAGGCUGUCAUUAUGGCAAAUGCGAGGUAUUCAGUGGGUAUUAAGUGAAAAGAUAAUGGGAGACUGAGAGGAUUUGGGGGGUUUGGAUAGUGAUCACAGUAAAUAUUCAGUGUUUCGUCGAGUUUGUAUUUCAUUCAUUCAGAGUGCACAUCAGCUUGUGUUGUUAGGUGCACAGAACAGGUACAUAUUCUGAGUUGUGUGACCCUGGAGUCUAAGAAGGAUGACAAUGUAAAUCCUCAUUUAAUUGCCUUUGUUGUUUUUCUUUGAUCUAAAUUAAAAGUUAA